UGUAGCUCAGUGGUAGAGCACUUGCCUAGCAUGCAGGAGACCUGAGUUCAAUCCCCUGUA
rnacentral:tRNA from 1 species